rnacentral:rRNA from 1 species
CGAGCACGCGCGUGUGGCAUAUCAAUAAGCGGAGGAAAAGAAACUAACUAGGAUUCCCUCAGUAACGGCGAGUGAAGCGGGAAGAGCUCAAAUUUGAAAUCUUAAAGGUUUUCCCUUGACGAAUUGUAGUUUAUAGAAGUGUUUUCUGUUAGUGGAGUGGCAAAAGUUCUUUGGAAUAGGACAUCAUAGAGGGUGAGAAUCCCGUAUUUGGUCAUUCCUCCUAGCGUUGUGAUACACUUUCAACGAGUCGGAUUGUUCGGGAAUGCAGUCCAAAAUGGGUGGUAAAUUUCAUCUAAAGCUAAAUAUUGGCGAGAGACCGACAGCGAACAAGUACCGUGAGGGAAAGAUGAAAAGAACUUUGAAAAGAGAGUUAAACAGUACGUGAAAUUGUCAAAAGGGAAGCGUUUGACACCAGUGUUGUUUUUCCGAAAAUCAAUUACGAAUGUUUUGUUUUUGAGGAGUUAUGACUUCAUCGGCUUGCUCCUUUCUUUAUGAAACUUUCUUAAUGCACUUUUCGGUUAACAAGUCAACAUCAAUUUCUUUUGUUGUAAAAGGGUAUGAGGAAGGUGGCUUUCUUUUCGGAGAAAGUGUUUAUAGCCUUGUGCCUCUGCAAUCGGAGAGAUUGAGGUCUGCAGCGUAGAUCCUUCGGGGUUAGAUACGUUUGUGCUAAGUUAUAGCUUUUCAUAGACAACUUGUUGACUAUGUUUAGUCUUGUAGCUUACUCGCUGACGCUAUUUUACCUACGCUUAGGAUGUUGAGCGCAUGUCUCUCUCU